rnacentral:sRNA from 1 species
CAGUCCAGUGCCUGGUCAGUUUGACCACCAAUAUAGACCUGUACAGGAAAGUGAUGAUGAUGAGCCUCCUGAAAGUCCGCCAGGUUCUUCCUUGUACCAGUCUACCAAUGGGCGCAACACCAGACACUCUGCUUCUAGGCUUGACCAGUACAUGUCCAUUCACAGUGACACUGAAGAUGAGCGUUGACCUAGACCCUCAAAUCUUUUGGCAGAUUUUAACAUGUCUGUUUGAAUAAAUUAUAACAUUGACUGUGAUAUAUACUACAAUUACGACAAGGUGGAGGUUGGCUAUGUCAAGUAAAGUUGAUCAGACUCUACCCUUAUUGUUUGAUAUUUAGUCUGUAUUGAGAAUGGACUAGACAAAUAUUUACACUAAACUAAAACAUUCAAGUCUUUAUGUAUGUUAAAGAUUAAAAUUUCUCUGAUUUUAUUAUUAAUUUGUUAUGUAUUUCCUUGUUCUUAAUUUGUUUUUGUUUCAGUGCGGUAUAGAAAAAAGUUAGUCAUAAGGAAAUUUGUUUUUCUUUCCAUGUGUCAUAAUGAAAGUGUCCAGAGGGGGGAGAGAAUUAAAGUUCUUGACAAAGUGGGGAAUAGAGUCUUUGUUGACAGUGUGAGAACCUCUGUCUCUAAACACAACAAUUGUUUCUAUUUGCCAUCUUUUAAAAUGUCCUUGUUGGUAUAUUUUAAAAUGAGGUGGCCUCAAGUUUGAAUUUCUACUUCUACUAAACACUAUUUCAAAACGUGUCCAGUAGCCUGGAGAGUUAGGGUUACAUUAAAGUCAUGUUUCCUUUAAUUGAUAGAUCUUUGAAAGUGAUUGAUUGCUUUCCUCGCUCCAAUCUCCUUGCAAUGUAUCAGCUAGACACUUCAUUAUAUUCUUACUACCUUUUCUUGUCUAGAUCACAACAAAGGCAUCACACUAGAGAAGAGUCUUCAUGUAGACUAUUGUAGACAAAGCUUAAAUUCAUUUCCCUUUACAUCAAAAACUAUAUGAACAUGUUUAUUUCAAGUAUUCCUUCCCAUCAAACUAAUGAUAUACGAGUUAUUUUUUAACAUUCCUUCAAAUGAUGUACAUAUUUUUAUUAAUUUUUUUUUAAGUAAAGAAGAAAUAACAAUUAUAACAUAUAAAUGCUAAACAAAAUUUCUUCAUCGUAUCAAUAACUUAAAAAUAUUUGAAUGAUUUUAAAGUCAAUAAACUACAUUGAUUCUUAUGUAAAAU